rnacentral:tRNA from 1 species
GCGGGCGUGGCGGAAUGGUAGACGCUCGGCACUUAAAAUGCCGUUCCCUUGUGGAGUGCCGGUUCAAGUCCGGCCGCCCGCACCA